GAUGAACGCUAGCUACAGGCUUAACACAUGCAAGUCGCGGGGCAGCAUGGGGGUUGCUUGCAAUCCCCGAUGGCGACCGGCGCACGGGUGAGUAACGCGUAUCCAACCUGCCCUUCACCACGGGAUAACCCGGCGAAAGUCGGACUAAUACCGUAUGUUGUCCAUUGACGGCAUCCGAUUUGGACGAAAGGCUUGGCGGUGAGGGAUGGGGAUGCGUCCGAUUAGCCAGACGGCGGGGUAACGGCCCACCGUGGCUACGAUCGGUAGGGGUUCUGAGAGGAAGGUCCCCCACACUGGAACUGAGACACGGUCCAGACUCCUACGGGAGGCAGCAGUGAGGAAUAUUGGUCAAUGGGCGUAAGCCUGAACCAGCCAAGUAGCGUGCAGGAUGACGGCCCUAUGGGUUGUAAACCGCUUUUAUGCGGGGAUAAAGUGGCCCACGUGUGGGCUUUUGCAGGUACCGCAUGAAUAAGGACCGGCUAAUUCCGUG
rnacentral:rRNA from 1 species